AUCAACUAAUAUAUGAUGUACUUGUAAUAAGUAUUAAUUUU
rnacentral:sRNA from 1 species